rnacentral:pre_miRNA from 1 species
GUGGUAUCCCGAUGUUGAGCAUGCUGCUCAUGCUCGUAAUAUAUUCUAGUCAUGUAUAUACUCGUAUAAACGUGUACUAGUCAUAUUACGAGCAUGAGCAGCAUGCUCAACACCGGGA